GUAAGGGAUUUUAUCUUUAUUUGACUUUCUUUCACAUUACUUAUUAUUGUCUUAUUAUGACUGAAAUAAAAAU
rnacentral:tRNA from 1 species